AUUGCUUCUAGGUGUUUUGGCCAAAAUAAUGUGUAGUAUCUGUCCUUAUCCAAUUAAUUUCUAAUGUGUCCUCUAUAUUAAAUGGAUUUUUGGAGUUAGGAGUUGGAGUAGGAGCUUACUCCAUCCACUCCACUCAUUGACCUGGUAUUGCAGUGCCUCCAGGAAUGGAGAAAAAAAA
rnacentral:snRNA from 1 species